rnacentral:lncRNA from 1 species
AGAGUAAUCUGCGAGGAUAAACGAGUUUGCACAAUUCAUCAAAGAUUUGACACGCCUUAAUAUUCUGGUCCUCACUUACCAUUAAAAGGCUUGCUUGCUAUCCUAGCACUAGGUCAGUAAAUAGCGACUCAGCAUGGCAAAAAAGCAUUUACCAGAAGUAAGCUUUAAAUAGAAACUUCAGUCAGUUUCAGCAAGACCAGAACUUCUUUCAUUUACCACCACUCCUGAUUUCUACAUCUAUCUCAGAAUGCUUUAAGAAUUAAUAAGUGUUCCUUCAAUGACACUGAGAAUACACAGCAAUGUAUAAAUGCUAAAUAACCAUCCAUCUAUCCAUGAAAGCCAAGUACAAUACUUCAGUGGUUACCAGUCUCUUGCUGUUCCCAAUGAUCCUUUACAAAUUUAACUUCACCUUUUUAGUAAGAAUCUAACAUCUGUUCAAAGAAAACAAACUUCAUCCUAGGCCAAACAAAUAAAAUCAGCGCAAAGACAGUAAGUAGCAGGAGGAGUUACUGUACCUCAUUCAUCUCCCAUGAAGGGGCACUUGAGAAGGCAGCUGUUUUACUAUUUGCCUCUUUUCCAAGUCAUGAAAGAACUACCCAAGUACACUGCCAGAGCACUCUGAGGAGGGAGCAAACUCACUGCAACAGUGAGGAAAAGAGGAUUUUUUUCCAACAUUUUUGACACCUACACAAUACCACAUAUCCAGCAGCCUUCCAGACCAAGAGCCAGCAACAACUGGUGGCUGAGCAAGGAAAGGACAAGCUCCCUCGGACUGCUGGAACUUCCCAGGCCAAAACUAAUAUAUUCAAUCAAGGCAAGAGGUGGCUAAAGCAGACUCUGGAGCACAGACAUCAUGCAUUCACAAGGGAUAAAUCUGGUCAUAAUGUCCAUGGGUGUUGUUUCUCAUCAGGUAGAAGAUGCAUCUUCAUAAGGAGGGUGCUGAAAGAACCUGACGCUGGGAGGCAGAAGCCUGACUGAAAUGACAAGGUCUGCGUCCACAAGGAUUCUUCAGAAUCUCCCCAUGCCAGGUAACAAACAAAUAAACCCCCCAAAGUGCUUCUGGUUACUAAUGAUUUCUUGAGCAUUUAGAAAUCCAGCCAGAAUGAGAUUAGAAGCCCAACUAGGCCUUUGGAACAAAGACAGACACCCUUAAAGGGCAAGAUACUCUGCUUUCUCUGCUGAUUACAACCCCCAUCCAGACAACAUCACCUCAGCCUCCUUCAGAUCUGGUUUCAAAUAUUUUCUUCCCAUCUGUGUUCCUUUCUCAGGUAACUCUGUGCAUUGCUGCUGUUAAUGGAUUACACAAAAUAGUGUGUAUUGUUAAUGUAGUAAAGACUCUCCCAUCCAUAUUUCUUUCCAAGGACCCCAAUAUAAAUGAAGAUUGCUCCCCCUAAGCCAGAGAAGAACAAUCCUCAUAUAUUCUCUACAGGGCUAUUUUAGCUCAUUCAUGAAUUAUCAUAAUAUAUAAAAACAUAUGUAAAAAGUAUUGGGUAAAAUGUCUGCCUGACUGGAGUCAAUGGCAAAUCUCCCAUUUACUCUAAAGGGACAAAAUUUCAUCCAAGUUCCAAAAUGAACAUUUUCUGCUUACAUUUUCUUGGAUAUAUAUAUAUAUAUUAGACAGAUGCUCUGUGUUUGCUCAACAGUUAAAGAAAAUUAUUCUUUUCAUGCAAAAUCCUGUCUUGUUUCCCCACUAGAAAAUAGACCUUGAAUAAUUUCUUCAGAAAAUAAUACCAAAUUGUCAGGGUUUGUACCAUCUAAUCUGGAUUUGGCAUAACUAAGUGAACUCGCUGGCUCCUAGCCCUGCCAUUAAUAGUAACAGCACAGUUUGGGACUUCUCGUUUGGUUUUCCACUCGUACAUGUGUCUGUGUCCAAUUUCAAACACAGUUAAUCAUGAAGCAAGGAAUAAACAACAAAGUGGAAAGGUUGAGGAUGGGGAAAUGCAUUGAAACUCCUCUCAGUGAUUAAAAGGGCAAUGACCUGAGCACAAUGGC